rnacentral:rRNA from 1 species
CACCUCAUGGCAGCGUGACGGUACUUGAGUGUCUCCUUCUUGGAGAACUUUUCUGUAGCUUAAGGAGCUGUAGGAAUAAGGGGUGGGCAAUACCCGUGGCAGCCGCCGCGGUAAUACGGGAUCCUCAAGUGGUUCUCACGGAUAUUGGGCUUAAAGCGUGUGUAGCUGGCUGAGAAAGUCCUUUGUGAAAUCGAACGGCUUAACCGUCCGGCUUGCGAGGGAUACUACUCAGCUUGGGACCGGGAGAAGUAUCGGGUACUCUUGGGGUAGGGGUGAAAUCCGUCGAUCCUAAGAAGACCACCUGUGGCGAAGGCGCGAUACUAGAACGGGUCUGACAGUGAGACACGAAGGCUCGGGGAGCGACCCGGAUUAGAUACCCGGUUAGUCCGAGCUGUAAACUAUGCCCUCUAGGUGUUUCCUAACCCUCGAGGUUAGGAAGUGCCGAAGCGAAAGCGUUAAGGGGCCGCCUGGGGAGUACGGUCGCAAGACUGAAACUUAAAGGAAUUUGGCGGGGGAGACACUACAAGGGGUGGAGGCUGCGGUUCAAUUGGACACAACACCAGGCACAUCACCAGGGGCGACAGCAGAAUGAAGGUCAGUCUGAAGGGCUUACUAGACACGCUGAGAGGUGGUGCAUGGCCAUCGUCAGCUCGUGUCGUGAGACGUCCUGUUAAGUCAGGCAACGAGCGAGACCCUCAUCUUUAGUUGCAACCGUUCAGAGUUCUGGGCGAGCACUCUAAAGAGACCGCCAAGGCUAACUUGGAGGAAGGAGAGGGCGACGGUAGGUCGGUAUGCCCCGAAUCCCUUGGGCUACACGUGGCCUACAGUGGACAAGACAAUGGGCUGCAACACCGAAAGGGGAAGCCAAUCCCCUAAACUUGUCCUCAGUUCGGAUCGAGGGUUAAACUCACGGUCGUGAAGAUGAAUCCCUAUAAUCCGGCCAUCGCGCGUGACUCCUCAAUGCAUCCUUUAUACGC